rnacentral:rRNA from 8 species
GUGCCUUCGGGAACUGUGAGACAGGUGCUGCAUGGCUGUCGUCAGCUCGUGUUGUGAAAUGUUGGGUUAAGUCCCGCAACGAGCGCAACCCUUAUCCUUUGUUGCCAGCGGUUAGGCCGGGAACUCAAAGGAGACUGCCAGUGAUAAACUGGAGGAAGGUGGGGAUGACGUCAAGUCAUCAUGGCCCUUACGACCAGGGCUACACACGUGCUACAAUGGCGCAUACAAAGAGAAGCGACCUCGCGAGAGCAAGCGGACCUCAUAAAGUGCGUCGUAGUCCGGAUUGGAGUCUGCAACUCGACUCCAUGAAGUCGGAAUCGCUAGUAAUCGUGGAUCAGAAUGCCACGGUGAAUACGUUCCCGGGCCUUGUACACACCGCCCGUCACACCAUGGGAGUGGGUUGCAAAAGAAGUAGGUAGCUUAACCUUCGGGAGGGCGCUUACCACUUUGUGAUUCAUGACUGGGGUGAAGUCGUAACAAGGUAACCGUAGGGGAACCUGCGGUUGGAUCACCUCCUUA